GACGAACGCUGGCGGCGUGCCUAAUACAUGCAAGUAGAACGCACAGUUUAUACCGUAGCUUGCUACACCAUAGACUGUGAGUUGCGAACGGGUGAGUAACGCGUAGGUAACCUGCCUGGUAGCGGGGGAUAACUAUUGGAAACGAUAGCUAAUACCGCAUAAUAUUAAUUAUUGCAUGAUAAUUGAUUGAAAGGUGCAACUGCACCACUACCAGAUGGACCUGCGUUGUAUUAGCUAGUAGGUGAGGUAACGGCUCACCUAGGCGACGAUACAUAGCCGACCUGAGAGGGUGAUCGGCCACACUGGGACUGAGACAUGGCCCAGACUCCUACGGGAGGCAGCAGUAGGGAAUCUUCGGCAAUGGACGAAAGUCUGACCGAGCAACGCCGCGUGAGUGAAGAAGGUUUUCGGAUCGUAAAGCUCUGUUGUAAGAGAAGAACGGGUGUGAGAGGGAAAGUUCACACUGG
rnacentral:rRNA from 1 species